GGUUUCGGUCGAGUCUCAGUAGGAGUUUUACGUAGUCCUCGGCGUCAAGGAUGAACGCUGGCGGCGUGCCUAACACAUGCAAGUCGAACGGGCUUAACAUGAAACCUAGUGAUUGUUAAGUUAGUGGCGGACGGGUGAGUAACGCGUGGAUAACCUGCCGUAUGCAGGGGGAUAACAGUUGGAAACAGCUGCUAAUACCGCAUAAGCGCACAGUACCGCAUGGUACGGUGUGAAAAAGAUUUAUCGGCAUACGAUGGAUCCGCGUCCGAUUAGCCAGUUGGCGGGGUAACGGCCCACCAAAGCGACGAUCGGUAGCCGGCCUGAGAGGGCGGACGGCCACAUUGGGACUGAGACACGGCCCAAACUCCUACGGGAGGCAGCAGUGGGGAAUAUUGCACAAUGGGGGGAAACCCUGAUGCAGCGACGCCGCGUGAGUGAAGAAGUAUCUCGGUAUGUAAAGCUCUAUCAGCAGGGAAGAAAAUGACGGUACCUGACUAAGAAGCCCCGGCUAACUACGUG
rnacentral:rRNA from 1 species